GAUACGAAAAGGGCGUGGAAGAGCAAAAAAUGAAGCCUUGCACAAAAUUAAUGAAAACAAUUGGCCGGUUCCAAUAGAGUUUGGAGAGGGUUAUAUUAAACCUGUUGGUUUAAAUAACAAAUUAUGGACGGCUGAGGUUGGCAUUAAUACACGAGAUACUGAAGCCCUUCUAAAGUAUAAAACAUGGAGGGAUGUUCCAGAUUUUGAGAAAGAGGUCUGCUAUGACCAUUUGAAGGUCAAAGUCAAAGAAAGGCAGAGCUAAGAAGAUGAGGACGGUGAAAGGGAAGAGGAUCCUGCUAUUCGUUUGUACAAGGAUACACAUUUUAAGGAACAAGGUGGAUGGGCACACGAGAAAGCUAAGAGGAAUUUUGAUGCAAUGAAAGAAAAGGCUGCACAAAAUUCUCAAAAUUCUGAUGGUACGAGUCCAUCCAUAAGUGAUGUUGAGAUAGUACAAAACCAACUAGGCAUAAGGAAGGGAUAUUGCCGUGGAUUCGGACAUGGUUUCGUGGCUCCAAAGCG